AACGAACGCUGGCGGCAUGCCUAACACAUGCAAGUCGAACGAGACCUUCGGGUCUAGUGGCGCACGGGUGCGUAACGCGUGGGAAGCUGCCCGUAGGUUCGGAAUAACUCCCCGAAAGGUGUGCUAAUACCGGUUAAUGUCUUCGGACCAAAGAUCUCUCGCUGUUGGAUGGGCCCGCGUUGGAUUAGCCAGUUGGUAGGGUAAAAGCCUACCAAUGCGACGAUCCAUAGCUGGUCUGUGAGGAUGAUCAGCCACACUGGGGCUGAGACACGGCCCAGACUGCUACGGGAGGCAGCAGUGGGGAAUAUUGGACAAUGAGCGAAAGCCUGAUCCAGCAAUGCCGCGUGAGUGAUGAAGGCCUUAGGGUUGUAAAGCUCUUUUACCCGGGAUGAUAAUGACAGUACCGGGAGAAUAAGCUCCGGCUAACUCCGUG
rnacentral:rRNA from 1 species